AUGGAUGAAUGAGCUAACGGUAGAUUCGAAACAUCUGAUUCUGCUGGUUUCCUUUCUGGAUUGGAUCAGAUCUAUUUCUGCCCAAGUUGUGCAGAUCUUACCAGAUAUUAAGAAGAUAAAAAGAAAUAGAGAAAGAAUGUUCAGCAAAGACAGGACUCCUGCCUUCUCAAUGUGAAUUGUUCCUUUGUUCUUCUCUGUGUUCCUGUCCAGCCACACGGUAAGAGCCAUUCCCAUGACUGCUGCCCCCUGCAGAGAGCUUGGGAGAGGGCAAGGUUUGGUUCUGACCUGCUUUGUCCUCAUGGGAACAUCAACUCAUAUAACUGGGGAGAUGGUGUUAUGAUUUGGAUGUAAAAUGUUCCCCCG
rnacentral:lncRNA from 1 species